GGCGGCGGCUAACACAUGCAAGUCGAGCGGAUGAUGGGAGCUUGCUCCCGGAUUCAGCGGCGGACGGGUGAGUAAUGCCUAGGAAUCUGCCUGGUAGUGGGGGACAACGUUUCGAAAGGAACGCUAAUACCGCAUACGUCCUACGGGAGAAAGCAGGGGACCUUCGGGCCUUGCGCUAUCAGAUGAGCCUAGGUCGGAUUAGCUUGUUGGUGGGGUAACGGCCUACCAAGGCGACGAUGGGUAGCCGGCCUGAGAGGGUGAUCGGCCACACUGGGACUGGAACACGGCCCAGACUCCUACGGGAGGCAGCAGUGGGGAAUCCUGGGCGAUGGGCGCGAGCCUGACCCAGCGACGCCGCGUGUGGGAAGAAGGCCUUCGGGUCGUAAACCACUGUCAGGAGGGAAGAAAAGCAGUUACCGAACAGGUAGCUGUAUUGACGGUACCUCCAGAGGAAGCACCGGCCAACUCCGUGCCAGCAGCCGCGGUAAUACGGAGGGUGCAAGCGUUAUUCGGAAUCACUGGGCGUAAAGCGCGCGUAGGCGGCUGCGCAAGUCAGAUGUGAAAGCCCUCGGCUAAACCGGGGAAUUGCAUCUGAAACUGCGUAGCUAGAGUUCGGGAGAGGGCGGCGGAACUCCCGGUGUAGGGGUGAAAUCCGUAGAUAUCGGGAGGAACACCAGAGGCGAAGGCGGCCGCCUGGACCGAAACUGACGCUGAGGCGCGAAAGCGUGGGUAGCAAACAGGAUUAGAUACCCUGGUAGUCCACGCCGUAAACACUGGGCGCUAGAUGCUGGGGGCCGUUAGAGCCUUCGGUUGUCGCAGCUAACGCGUUAAGCGCCCCGCCUGGGGAGUACGGUCGCCAAGGCCCGAAACUCAAAGGAAAUUGACGGGGGCCC
rnacentral:rRNA from 1 species